rnacentral:lncRNA from 1 species
CGCCAUGGUUUCUUCUGCUGUAUAAUAUGUAUGUAUCACACCACUUUAAUGCCGAGGUCAACGCAACCGCAGACCAAUCUCCUGUCAAAAGGUAAAAAAUUUACUGCUUCAUCAGUUUGUAACAGUAGCUUAAUGGUAAAAUUAGAUGUUUACCUAUUUGUAGUUUCCAAUUUGUUCUGCACUUUUUUCUUCUUGGUCUAUGCUUUUCACCUCUGAUGAACCCUAACUACUUUACUUUAUGUGGAAAUAUACAUGAACGCUUCACUAAAAUGUCAACAUAAAACAAUCAAAGCUAUAAACAAGACGCUUUUUGUAGUCACCGUACUCCCUCGAUUAGGAAUUCAAAUCCUCAACGAGUACUAUGCUUCUAAAUAUAAGUUUUUAGGGCUCAUCAGAUAUCUGUGUUUGAUUCCAAAUCUAAAUUUGAAACAAAAACACAUUGAUUGAUUAACACUGCGAAAUCUAAGCCCUAGACAUAAGACUGCAGAGUGGAUUCGCUUCAAGAAUAUGAUUACCCUGAAAUCCAGCUUCUUCACUUGUUGAGAUGCUGACAUAUCCAAUUCCUAGUCGAUCCACCAAACAAUAUUUAGCAUAUGACAACUCAAGACUUAGUCAACCUACAUAUUUGCAGACACAGUCCACAUACAAAUUGAUAUUACAGGAAUGUUCUAAAUUUUGUCCUAGACACGAUUGGAUUGGACUCCUUUUUAACUAGCUAGGCGUUCGGUGUAAAUUUUUAUAUUUUAUUGCAUAGAAACUGCAAUUGAUAGUGCGACAAAACUAUAGAUGCAAUGAACUGGAUAGUCGUUCAUUGGUGCCUAUGGUGUAGGAUUUACAGUCUAGGAACAAGGUCCCAGAUUCUACUUGAUAGAUCAGACCUAUAGAUAUAUGUAGAUGAGUAAAUACAGACAGUGAGAUCAAAUACCACUUCAAAAUUAGCUCAACGAGUGCCUGUUUUCUGGACUUAAUCCCUGCUUCUCUCUCUGACUUUCCUUGAAUUUAGAGAAAAUAAAAGACAUAUAGACUCUAAGAUUUUAGUUUUGCAUAUAAAAGAGGCUCUAUUUAAGUUUUUAUGGACCGGUACUUUGUACUAAAACAAAGUUGUGAGCCCAAAUAGAACGAUGAAUUUUACUUUAGAUCAAUACUACAAGUGAAUGUAAUAGUUUCUGCCACAGUACAUGUAAUUGUUCUUAGCACCUAUGCUGUUGCAUCAUCUCAAAUUCUAGAUACAGAAGAAUUCUUAAUUUCAUGACUAUGCUACUUGGCUAACUUCUAACUCAUAUCUUCUCCAGGCUAGAGCAUGCUGCAUAUAAUUGGCAAUCCUCCUAACUUAAAAAGCAGGUUAACUUUUACUAUCCCAUUUUAUUUGAAUGAAGAUUCUGACAGCCUGUGUUUCAGGCUCAUCUUUAGCCACCCUACAAAAGCUCCAAUAUAUAUCCUCUUAGAUGCUGGGAAAAUACUACCUUCACGAUAGCCCUAAUACCAUAAGGUCUUUUUAAAAGUCAGUUAAUCUCUUCUUGUUCUCCAUCUCCCACCACCCACUUUCCAACUCUAAACCACUCACCUCCCAACAGCUUGACCAGCGAAAAAAAUUGUUUGUCCGAAGCCAAAAGGAGGUUGACUCACUUCAUUCUAGUAAUAUAAAUUGCUGUUUCAACGUUGCAAUUCAACAAAACAUAAACACUAUCAAUAUUUUACAUAAGUCAUUGCUUUGGUUUAUAAAACAUCAAUAUAAUAAUAAUAAUAAUAAUAAUAAAUGAUACCUUCUAUUUACAUGUCUCCUUGAUUUCGCCAAGAAGGGAUGAUUUAGAAGUCCUAAACCUGUAGGAAAAGCAACCUAAUAACCAGACUCAGAAGAAAACGUUGAGUGGCACCACAGAGGUUGCUGAAGGAAACAAAGACUAAAAAAGGCCAUGAUAUAAAUAACAUGUGCUCCACCUCAGUCCAUACAUCUACUGAUUCAAAGCACUCUAUCUUAUAUUUUCAUCUCACCUAACAAUUAUUUGAAUCAUUCACUUCCGGAACUCGAUUGAAUCUCCAUGCAAGAAAACAUCACAUUAUAUCCUGGCCAAUUAGUCAAAAGUGAAAAUUGAGUUUAAUACUAUUUUUUUCAAUUUCAAGAAAAGAUGAAAACACCACAAUUCAGAUUUUGUGGAUUAGAUCAAUAUUGGCCUAUUCCCACACAACUCAUGCAAAUAUAAAACUUAUUUGUGUCCUAUUGCUUGCCUUAAUUAAUAUUUAUCCAACACUAAAUAUAGCCAUGCUUCCACUUAGGCUCCUCUAGAAUACUCAGGGAAGAUUCAUCAAUAGAAAAAAGGACCUUAGUCAAAGGAAAAUAUACCAUUUGAAAAGAAGACUUUCUAGAAUUGUAAAGUCAUUUUCAAGACUUUUACUCCCAAAGGACUUAAAUUAUGACAAAAAUACAUUCAUGUAUAGAUUAGGAGGAAAAACAUCAGAUAGUCCUUAAACUGUUCUUAAGCAGCUAACUGCCUUACUCCUAUGACAUCCUAAUUCAUACAAAUGCUGUAUAGUGAAAGGUAAAAAGGGGAUAAAACAACCUUCCAAUUUGUUGGAUGAUAAAAUGAUUAAGACCUGUCAUAGUUUCACCAGAAAAAUGUAUUUAGGGAAAAUACAACAGAACUACAUAUUAAUUUAAAAAUAUAGUGAAUAAUUCUAUAUAAAGACAAAAGGAUGAUUAAAGAGGAGUAAGGGAAAUGGGAUAGUAUGAAAAAAGACCACGAAUGUUUAAGAUAUUGUUACCACAACCCUCUAUGAUGGUAGGAACCAUUUUUCAUCCAAGAAAUUGGACAGACUUCUUGGAUGAGCUUUCUAGAAGCAUUGGGUACCAACAAAAUUGGGCAACAAACUCCAAUUUGUUACCCAAUGAUGCAACUUCAACAACUCCUCUUCUUCCCUCAUCUAUCCUUACUGCCAUUCUUUCAAAAGUCAAGCACCCUAGGUGCCCUCUCCACAGCUAAGAUCAUAGAGUGAAAUAGUUGCACUACUACUUAGCAAGUGCUCAAAGAAAACAGACCUGUAUUUGGUGUUAUAUUCAAUGCACAUCACUACAAAUAGGAGUCUAGACAUUAAGGGGUGUUCAUAGAUGUUUUUCUCUCCUCUAUGUAAGACCAAAAAGCAACCAUGGGUAUCAACCACCUAUUAUUUACUUGAAGCACGCUAGCAACUUAGGUGAAAAUAGAAUAAAAUAAUAGAAGCACAAAAGUAUAGAACCACAUUUCGAAAAUGCAAAGCUAUCAAGAACAUAUUUAAGGAGGAUUCUUUAGCUGUUAACCAUAUGCAAUGAUCUUGUGAUAGGCCUUCAGCAGCCUAGUAAUUCACUAUAGAUUAGUAUUUUUAUCCAUGAAAAGAUAAGUUAUGACUCAAUUGAAUUUUCUUAAUUUUCUUUUUAUGGAUUUCCCCUUUUGCCUUACGUUGACCUGGUUAGGGGGUUUAAUCAAUAAUUAAAUGGAAAUUAAUUAAAUUGGUAAAAUAUUUUAGUGAAUUAAUUUACUUUUUUAAGUUCAUAUACCAAAGAAGAAUAGCAUCUUAAAUGAGUUUAAAUCUAAUAUUUAGAUGAUAAUUGCUUUUAGAACACGUCUAGAUCUUAACCUCUUAAUAUGUAUUACCUACCAGGUUAUUUUCAAUUGAUGUCACGAGUUCCUCCUUAAACCCUUGUAAAUAUGUACAAGUAGAAAACACAUAGUAUAAAAAUCUUAGUAUUUUAUACAUUUAAUUCAUGUUCCUAGUUACUAGUUUUUGACUUUGUUUCAAAUAACCAAAUGUGAUACAAAGUCAUUGCCUUAAUUAAUUGAACAUAGGCUGGAGAUUAUGGAAGUCAUACCACUUUCUAGCUUCUCCUAUGAUUUUAUCUUUUUUCUUUUCACGCUUUUAAGUAUUUUUCAUUAACAUGUAACUUUUACAAGUAUAUUGACAAAGAAACUGAAGCUUUAACAAACUUUAUAUUGACAAUUAAUUACAUGUCUCAUCAACUUCUUUCAUAUUUAUAGGCAAAGCCUAUUAGAUAGAUCAAUAUUUACCUGAAUUGGAUUUACUAAGAUAAAAUAAAAACACAAAAUACCUACCUGAAGUUGGCUACAUUUGUCAACACCAAAAAGACCCUUUUAAAACCAAAUUGAGAAAUUAGCAUGGGACCAAAUCAUCAUAAGCCUUAAUUACCUAUUAGGAUAUUCAAAGAGAGAGAUUGAAUUAUAAAUUAUGCAUAAAUGCAAAUUGCAACAAUGAGUAUAAUGUACAAAUUUCACUCUUCCACACGACAGCCUUUGCCACAAAAUUCACAUUUAUCAUGAAUUCAAGCUAUUUCAAUCCCUUUCUAUUCCCCUUUAAAGAAACUUUACCAAAAAAGGAAAUAAAAAUGCAAAAUUUGCCACCCUAAAGAAGAAAAAUAUAAAUGCUAUAGUAAAAAUCCUUGUACCUUGUCAAAUGAUGAAUUACCGUGCACGCCGCGGAACAUUUCUAUUUUCUCUGUAAACUAAUUGACAUGCCCGAAUCAGAAUCUGCAAUGAGAUUUUAGAAAUCUAUAGGUUACUUUGAUUCUCCCCAUAAAAUAUAUGUUUGGUUAAACUGUAGAAGAUCAUACUAUAUGGUCAAUAGAUGAUUAAUGAACUUUGCGCUUAGCUUUAUUUACUUUAGUUAUAUUUCAAUUUAAUCAUAUUUACAAAUGAAAAUUAAUAUGUAGCAGAAAUAGCCAAUGCAAAAAAAAAAAAAAAAAAGAACGACCUAAUAUGAUUAGAGUAUCAAAUUAAAAUAGAAUAAUUGAAAUAAAACAAUUUAAAGUUUUGCGAUCAAAAUGGAAUUAAAUGUAAAGUUUAAUGACUAUUUGUAUCAUUAUUCCUCACUUUCUCAUAGGAAACAUAAUGAUCAAAGCUUUCCACAAGCUGCCUAAACCAAGUACCUAUGCCCAAAUUAGAGGAGGAUGCAAUGAUGUCAUCGUUCAAUGGUGUAAGUUCUUCAAAAUCAACAUUGGAUAUUAAUUAAUUUCUUUGUGUAACCAUACAUGUGAAAUGAAGAUCUUUUAAGAUGAGAAAAUAACAAAAUAAGAUUCGAAUUGACAUGUAUACCGAGAAAGGAAGCAAACCAGUAAUAGGAUAACAAACUGCAGAAUACAAUUAAAGUACGUAAUAGAAGAGAGAAAACAUAAGUGAGAUCAAUCAAGUGCUACAUGUGCAUGCAAUACAGAAUCUGAUUUUUUAGAGUACUUUCUGACCUGCGUGAUAAGGUUUCUUUUUUUAAAAUACCCUUCGUUCCGUGAGUUGACGAUUCCUUAUAAGGAUCUAUCAUCCAUGCGUAUCUGCAAAAACUAGAAGCACACAAGCAAAGAGAAAGCAGACGCAGAGAUUUCCCUUCCAUGGAAACUACCGUACCCAAUCUAGAGCCCCUCCUGCCUACUAUGCACCCAAAAUAUCACACCAAAUAAAAUAUCCUGAUGCAUACGACUAAUAUGUUGCACGAAAUAAAGAGAAAAAGAAAAAGGAUAUCUUAUCAAAACCCACAUCAGAUCAGUAAGAGUAUGUGCAAAUGACAAUAUAAAUUAGAACAAAAACAAAACAAAUCGGUGCACUAGUAAUACAAGCAACCCUAUUCUAGGUAGAAUAGGGUUUUUUGAAAUCCAUAAAGAAAAAGAAAACCCACUAGAGAUUCUUGAUAGAUUCAGGUGAAAACAAAGUCCAAUGAGAAACAAAUCUCGAGCGAUACAUAAUCACAUGCGCAGGUGCAUAUUAAAAAAUGGGGGAAUGCAAGUGCAAAGAUGACAAUGAUAAAGAUCGAGAAACCAAAACUGAAGAAAGGGUUUUUGCAAGUAAGGACCAUACUAGAAGACUUAGAUAACGUGAAUCAAAAAUCUCAUAAUACUAUAUUUAUGCUGUUUUGCCGCUAAAUCUGCAUAGUAAUCACGCCUAACUGUUAAGCAGACACCAGCAAAAGCCACGCUUUAAAUAUAAUUUGAUGGCAUAAACCAAUCAAAUUCAAACAUAUCACAUCCUUCUGUUGGCACCCUCAACGUGUAGCCUUCUUCCCCUAGCUGUUGGUACCUCAACGUCUGUAAUCUUCUUCCUUUUGCGAAGCAAGUAGAGAGCUGUUGAGAAUAGAUAGAAUAAAGGGAAGAAGUGGUAUCAAUCUGGAACAGAAACAGGCCAGGAAAUAAGUGACCAUAGAGAUCAUAUUCCGGCGCUGGAAGCUUGACAGAAAGAGAAGUGAGCACGCAAAAGCAAGGGUAUAGAUUUAUACAAAUGCCUCUGUGUGCUCACUCUCUUCUGUCAAUUUCUAUGUCUCCCAGAAGAUCAUUGGAAGAUGAACGAAAAAAGAAUAAAAAAGAAAGAAUCUAAAGAGAACCUAUAUGUACAACCAGAAAUGGAAAAAUAAAACAAAAUAAGCAUAAAAUGUACAAAAGAAUGGAGUCAGAUCUGAGAACACAGUGACACCCAUUUUGGGUAAGUUACCAAAAAUCUGAUUCACGCUCUUUUUUCUGCAAGAAUGAAAGGCUUUAAUGAGGAUUUUUAGGGUUUUAUUGGGACCAAAAAAGAAUUCAGUCCACCAGAAAGUAAGUCAAGAAAACCCCUCUCUCUCUCUCUCUCUCUCUCUCUUUCUCUUUCCGUUUCUUUCUUUCGUUCUUUACAAAUUAAACACCAUAUAUAUUCAAUCACUCCAUCUCUAUCUCUUUUUUUUCCCCCUUUCCUUACACUCUCUAUCUAUGUAUCUAUCUCUCUCUGUCAUGCAAGACGUACAGGUGUCGGUGACGCGAACAAGUGUCCUUUAUAAUCUGAACAAAUCUAACAGUGAGAACGCGCAACCACUCAUGAAUAAGGAACGGACGAUAAUUGCUCCAGAAUCAUUUCUUUUUUGUUUUGUUUUGUUUUUUUCCUCCCUCGAGAAAAGAAAACAUAAUCAAGAAAUCAAGAAAGAAGAUGAAAAGAUUCAAAGAAAAAGAAUCGUAAAAAUGGUUGAUUUCUAUAUUUUCUCGUUGUUCUGGUUUAGUUUCUCUAUACACAAGUUGAGGUGAGUGGUCAUUUUCGUGGUAAGACAGACUGCACGAAAGAGAGCUUUUUCAAGAAACAAAAGAAGAGAGAGAGAGAGAGAGAAGCAUAUGGAGUCAUAGAGAGUGUCUGUGUUAUGUACUCCUGUAUGGAUGUGAUUGGUUGGUUGAGAUUGUUUGAAGUACGUUUUGCUUUCAUGAGCCUGUCAUAUAGGAUUGACGUUUGGCCGUCUGAUUCUUGGUCCUAUUCCCUGCCGUUGGAUUGUACUGGGUGACGGUGGGGAGAUGCAAAUUCGUUUUUUUCCUUUUACUGCUUCAAGUCCUAGCAACAACAUUGACAUUUCGCAGCAAUUAUGAAGCUUCAGAUAUGUGUAAUUUUUCCUUGUCCAAAUGAUAAAAAGACUUGGGAGUAUCCCAUUAUUCAUUCGCCAAUUUACAUGGAGACUACCCAAAAACAAUUUCUCUAUUUUUCUAUUUCUUUUCUUUAACAUUAAACAAGCAAAACUUUCGUCCCCAAGUGGGGGUUUGGAUAGUCUUGGGAAUUGAGCCUUGAUGCCGAUGCUGAUGCGACUGCGUCACUAAGGGAAACAAGUCUAAUCUCUGGCCGUUUGAGUCUUCUCUCUGCAUCCCUUCUCUUUUCCACUUGCUGCUUGGCGCAUAAUAAAAUAUUUUUCAAGACAAACUCAAAACUUCAUGAUAAAUUAGCAAAUCAUUUCUUCUUUAAUAGGUUAUGGCUUCUAUUUCUAUAGUUUUGUAUCAAAAUUCUAACCCUAUUCAAUUAACUUUCACUGUCUGACACUAGCACAUUCAAACACUUUUACUAGAUGAUGAACAAAAUAUGAAGGAAUUCUUAACACCUGAUAGUAUAGAUGCAAAAUAACACCAAACUAAAUCUUCUUAAGAGAAAGAAAAAAAAGGGGUAAAACAACUAAGAUUUUAAAGUUAAUUGGAGCAUUGAAGUGGUCAGAAUAUAUUUACUUUCAAAAUAAGAGGUUUUGAUUAAUAUUUUCCUCCAUUUUAACCGGUAAAUGUCUUUUUAUUUUAACUAAAUUCUUGAAUUUGAUCUUAAAUAUAUAAUUCUUUUAAAUUUUUGAGAUAAUACUUUGUCAUAAGAAGCUAUCAUAUCCCAACUGGGCCAGACUUUUUUUGGGAUUCCACCGUAAAUUUUUUAUCCUGGAUUAACUUUGUAUAUGUAUAUUACAAAAAAAUAUAAUAUUACUUUAUUAAUUUGUGGUAAAUGUAGAUGGCUAUUUAUUAUUAUGUAGUGUACAGGUUCCAUGAAUUAAAACAAAAAACAAAGCUAAUGGAAAAUGUGGUCGAAAGGGUAAUGUUGGGAGGUGUAGAAAAUGGGAAGAAGAAGAGGGACAGAUCAAGAAAAGAAGACUGAUGUUUAAACUUUAAAGUAUAGAGCCUUUGCCCAUUAAUGGAGCACAGGGAAAGGGUCACCUUUAAACCUGUCCAAGGUGCAUCUAUUUAUUUUCUUAUACAGUAUAGUGGGCGGGGACCGACCGUACACUAUUAAUAAAAAUAUAAUACUGAUUUCUUUUUUUCUUUUCUCUUGUUUUCUUCUUCUUCUUUUUUUUUUUAUUUUUUUUAUUUUUCAUUUUUCAAAUUUAAGCCUGCAUGGCAUUGUAAAUUUUUAUCAUUAGAAAUUUUGAAGCAUUGACAUUAUGUCUUUAUUUUUAUUUUUUUAAAAAAGAACAGUGACUGUUGUUAGUCAUUUGUAUUUCAAUGAAAUCUCUCUCUCUAUAUAUAUAUAUAUUAAUUUAUGAAAUGUACAUUUUUUUUAUCAUGUAUGUUUAAUUUUUGAUAUAUAAAAUUUCUGUUUUGACAUGUGUACUUACUUUUGAUACAUGAGAUUCAAAUUUAUGUUAAUUUUAUAAUUUUUUUCUAUUAAUUUAUUGAUUAAUAACUUACAUUCUAAUUAAAUACAAACUCUAAUUCUAAAAAUAGCACAUUAAUUAUAUUUUAAUAUUAUAAUACCUAAUAAAAUAAUUUUUUAAUAAGAUAAUGAUAUAAAUUUUAUUUUAAAAAAUAAAAUAUUAAUUAUAUUUUAAUAUCAUAUUAAUUAACAAAUUAGUUUAAUAAUUAGAUAAUAAUUCUAAUCUAGAAAACAACAUUUUAAAUUAUAUUUUAAAUUAUAUUCAAUAAUAAAUACAAUUCUUACUCUCAAAAAAAUAGUAAUUUCAAUUAUAUUGAUAUAUUAAUCUAUAUAAUAUUAAUUAAUUUCUAAAAUAAUUUUUAUAUUAUUAUAUUAAUAAAAUCUUAAAAUUUUAAAAAAAUGAAGAAUAUUUGAAAAUAGUUAGUUUGUUAUUAUUUUUUAAAAAAAUUUAUUACAUUACAUCUAUCAAUUUAAUUUUAUAAUCAAAAUAAUAAUAAUAACCGUGCAACGAGUUACCUAUUAAAUUUCUUGCAUUAUAACAUAUUGAUAUACUUUGCUUUAUAAUUUUGUUAUGUACCAAGCCGUAUUUCAUGGCAAAUUAAAAUGAAAGUUAAGUUUAGUGACAUAAAUGAAAUGAAUUUCAUCUUUAAAUAAUUAAUUUAAUAUGCCAACAACUAAUCUAUAAAAUGGCAUCCUUAGGGGUUUACAGUUUCUGAUUCUAUACUUGUAAUGAGUUUAAUAAUGUGUCUCUAAAUAACUAUGCAAAAUGAUAAAAAAAUAAUAAUAAUACAAAGAAACUGGAAAAAGAAAUGAAUUUAUGGGGAGCAGAGACCACGCCCUUAAAGCUCCAAAUGACCCACACAUCUAACUUCCCUUGCCUCAUUUAAAUACAACUUCAGGGUAUAGAGAUGCAUGGACCACACUCCUUCUAUUUUCAACCUUACGUACCUCAAUCUCAUGUUCAAGAGACAAAGGGCCAUUUUAGUUAACCCUACCUCUUUUUUUUUUUUUUUCAGUUUUAAUGCAUAAAAUCAAGUUGUCAGUAUUUAUUAAUUAAUGUUUUCUAUAGAUUGGCGGUCCAUUAUGAAACUAAAUUGUUUUAGGAAUAUCAUACAAGUUUUAAGUUAUUUUUAUCUAAAUGUGGGUAUAUGCCUCUCUCCUUUCUUAUUGUAUGACCUAUUAUUUUUAAUAGAUUCAAAUACUGAUGGAUUAACAAAUGCAAUCAACUUGUUGAAACAUUGAGAGGAAAUUGUAAUUACUUUUGUUAAAAAACCAUAAUUAAAGAUCGAGUGGUUAAUAAAGUAUACUAUAUGUUACUGUCUCAGCUGCAAAGACAAGAGUCCUCAGUGCUUCUCUCUCACCUAUCCCCACACUCCAUGUCACUAGGAAACUUUGACUAGAUAAUCAAGACAAUUGGGGAUCUCAACCCCAUGUGCCAAGUGUCAGUUUGCAUNNNGGUGGACAAGAAAACAAUAACUUCAUUUUCAUUUCUAUGUAUUGUCACAGCCCAAUUUUGGUAAGCCGUAAUCACAAAAGAACUUUUAGAAAUUUUGAUAAAAGCCAUACUCUUUUUUUCCCCUUUGAUUUUGGUGGACUGUUCCUUAUCUUUUAAUUAAUAUCAGAAGGCUUACAUUCUCACUUACUCUAACAAGGAUUAAAAAGAAAAAGAAAAAAGGAAGUCAUUAACAGGUGGGUGCAUUUAUAUGUGAGCCAAAAAAACUGCCCACAUGUUAUAUAGGUUCUCAAGGCGUAUGGACCACAGAAAUUUGAGAUUAAUUAUCCCAGUAUUAUGAUGGCUUUUUAGGCAAAAUAUGUUAUUGAGAAUUAAUAAUUAAUCCAUGUUUGUAGUUAAACUUAUGUGAGUGUGAUUAAUCAAUCGUGCAUUUUGAGUUGCAAAUAUUAAAAUAGCAGCUACUGUAGGAUUGCCCUAAAUUGUUCAAGAUUGAUGAUAUUUUGCUAUGAACUUCUCCUAACAGUUGCCUAACACCUUCUGUAUGUUGAGCUCGAUCUUCCGAAUCCGAAUCAUCCUGUAAAUAUUGCAGAAACUAGGCAGCUUGACUAGGCUUCUUCUUACUCUCUUUGUUUCGACAAUUAUUUGGAAACUCACUUGUUUGUUAUCAAAACAAUCAAGACAAAGCUUUCUAAAAUGUAACUUUAUCUCUUGUAUGAUUGUUUUUAACUGUGAGUAUUUAAAGUUGAUAUUUUGAUUUAGAAUCUUUCUCGGUCUUAAUUUUUUUUUUAUUAUUUAUAUUGGUAAUGUUUUUAUGAUUAAACUUUAUAUUCAACACUUUUAUACAUUAUUUAUUAGAGUAGAAUAUUAAUAUGCAUUUUAUAUUCAUAUGUAUUUGAAUGUUACUUCUCUUUUUCUUCUUGUGUAUUUUGAUGUUUUUUUUGAAUGUAUUUUGGUGAGCUGGCCUCUUAUAAAAAAUAUUUAAUAUUUUUACUACAUUUUAUAACAUAAAAUAUGUCAGUGGUUUUAUCAUCGUUUAUUAACGCGGUGAAUAAUAAUACUUAUUAUUAUUAUUUUAGUUAUAAAUAAUUAUGUAUAAGAAAUAUAAAAAGUAAAUAAUAAAUAAGAUAUUUUUAAUAUACUGUAGGAAAUAUCUGCUUAUUAAUUUUUUUAAUUUUCUCCAGAAGCAUUGAUGCAGCCUGCAGCGCUGUUUGAAGGGAAGGGAUGGGUAGGUAACUGGUCCUUGUCACGUCAAUAGCCUUUGAUUUUGGCAAUUGUCAUCCUCCUGCUUUCCUCGCAGA